AUUGAACGCUGGCGGCAUGCCUUACACAUGCAAGUCGAACGGCAGCACGGGAGCAAUCCUGGUGGCGAGUGGUGAACGGGUGAGUAAUGUAUCGGAACGUACCUUUCAGUGGGGGGAUAACGUAGCGAAAGUUACGCUAAUACCGCAUAUUCUGUGAGCAGGAAAGCAGGGGAUCGCAAGACCUUGCGCUGAUUGAGCGGCCGAUAUCAGAUUAGCUAGUUGGUGAGGUAAAGGCUCACCAAGGCGACGAUCUGUAGCGGGUCUGAGAGGAUGAUCCGCCACACUGGAACUGAGACACGGUCCAGACUCCUACGGGAGGCAGCAGUGGGGAAUUUUGGACAAUGGGCGCAAGCCUGAUCCAGCCAUGCCGCGUGAGUGAAGAAGGCCUCGGUUGUAAG
rnacentral:rRNA from 1 species